UUUUGUUCACGCAUUUGUAUAUUGUAAUCACAAAAGUAUUUUGAGAUGAGUGUGUACCAUUCUGCAGUGGUGUGAAAAGGACUACCAUAUUAACGGAGUAAAUAUGAGUAUCAUCAUGCUAAAUGCAAUUGAGACUGCAAGAAUGAAAGUACAAUGUGAUUUUAUGCAAAAUGGUUGCAGAGAAAUGGAUCAGAAAAAUGUCGAAUAUGUCAACAACUCUCCAUCUUUAUGUUGCCUCUGAUUUUUUUGAUGCAUAUGGAUAUGAUACCCUCACCAUCUGUCAAAUAUAAGGUUACAAACAAGCAUUGUUGGAAAGGCCUUGACACUGUAUUUUUCCUACUUUGGCCUUAACCUUGUAUUUGAGAUGCUGCAGCUUUUUCCUACUUUGGCCUUAAGAGUGUAUUUUUCCUUUCUAAUUUUCUACAAAUACUUACUUGGUGGUAAUUUAUUGUAGAACACGUUACACUUCUCUAUUUACAGUGAACUCAUUUUAAUUAUUUGAACGAAAUAUCUUGCUUGGCUAUAUCAUGUAAUUGACAGGCUCUAAUAUAUUCAUCAAAGAGUUAAAGAAAGGGAAGCUCAAGAGAGCAUAAGCGACUAAGAUGAUUA